UCACUUUGUGCACGAUAUAUAGAUACUCAAAAUAACAUUAUAAAAGAGAUGUUUCUACAAUUUAUCCCAGUUUCAAGCAUGACUGGGUCUGCCUUAGCUGAUGUAAUAUUUGACAAUCUUGAAAAAUUCAAACUUAAUAUAAAUUUGAUACGUGGGCAAGGGUAUGAUGGAGCUCGUGCAAUAAGUGGGCAAUUCAAUGGGCUUCAAGCAUUUAUAAAAAAAAAUGCCCAACAGCUAUAUAUGUCCAUUGUGCUGCUCAUUCCCUCAACCUGGCAAUAUCUAAUGCAUGUUCUUUGCCAUUGAUAUCAAAUUGCUUAGGCAAAAUAUCUAGCAUCUAUGAAAUGUUUAGAUAUCCCAAGAGACAAAAUAUUUUGAACAGAAUUAUUUCUGAAACUCCUUGUCCAACAAGGAGGAAAAAAUUGCAAAAAGCUUGUCCAACAAGAUGGAGCCUUCGCCAUCAAGCUGUGACAUCUUUUAUGGAGUUAGAAGAACCAAUUAUUAACGCUCUUACCGAAAUAUCACAAUGGUCUGAGAGAGAUAUUUCUACAGAGGCUAGCAAAUUAUUAGAUUCCAUACUUAUACCAAAUUUUUUUUUCUCAUUACAAUGUAUUAAUAAAUUAUUUAAUUAUACUACAAUUUUAUGCAAUACUUUUCAAAAACUCGAUAUUGACUUGAUUGAGAUGAUGAGAAUA